AAGUCGUAACAAGGUUUCCGUAGGUGAACCUGCGGAAGGAUCAUUAACACGUAUCCAAACGUUAAAACCCCCCCCGUGAACAUUCAAUCCUGCUCUUGUAACCCGCGGCGCUUGCAAUCUCUGGUAAAUCAAUGUGGGAGGAAAGCAGUUUGAUUCAGAGACCUCUGGCCCGUGAGAAAAUUGGAACAGUUACAAUUCGAGCGGUAGGUUUAUAGGCCUUGUUUCCCCAAGCAGUCAGUGUCUGAAAGCGUCAUUGAUUGUGCAAGGAUAGCGCUUCACGAUUCCUGUAGACCCUUACAACCCCACAGUUUAUUGCAAAGCUCAAUGUAAUACAUUGGGUAAAAAAACUUGAACAACUGUUAACAAUGGAUAUCUUGGUUCUC
rnacentral:misc_RNA from 1 species